CUCUCAAAAUCCCCAAUCGUGGUUCCUAAAUUCCCAACACUAUCGGUGUGAGCUUGGAAGUCCUACCUGGUAAGUAAAUUCUCAAACCCUUUAUGUUUGAAGGGUGAAGUGGCAAAUCCUAAUUUGCGAGUGAAGCAUUUGCGAAGGGGUGAGUUUGAAUCCAUAAUCUUAAAGGUGGAGGCAUGCGAAGGUUGUUGUCGUGAGGAGGCAGAGGCUUUGGG
rnacentral:lncRNA from 1 species